rnacentral:rRNA from 1 species
UGCAAGUCGAGCGAACAGAUAAGGAGCUUGCUCCUUUGACGUUAGCGGCGGACGGGUGAGUAACACGUGGAUAACCUACCUAUAAGACUGGGAUAACUUCGGGAAACCGGAGCUAAUACCGGAUAACAUAUUGAACCGCAUGGUUCAAUAGUGAAAGGCGGCUUUGCUGUCACUUAUAGAUGGAUCCGCGCCGUAUUAGCUAGUUGGUAAGGUAACGGCUUACCAAGGCAACGAUACGUAGCCGACCUGAGAGGGUGAUCGGCCACACUGGAACUGAGACACGGUCCAGACUCCUACGGGAGGCAGCAGUAGGGAAUCUUCCGCAAUGGGCGAAAGCCUGACGGAGCAACGCCGCGUGAGUGAUGAAGGUCUUCGGAUCGUAAAACUCUGUUAUCAGGGAAGAACAAAUGUGUAAGUAACUGUGCACAUCUUGACGGUACCUGAUCAGAAAGCCACGGCUAACUACGUGCCAGCAGCCGCGGUAAUACGUAGGUGGCAAGCGUUAUCCGGGAAUUAUUGGGCGUAAAGCGCGCGUAGGCGGUUUUUUAAGUCUGAUGUGAAAGCCCACGGCUCAACCGUGGAGGGUCAUUGGAAACUGGAAAACUUGAGUGCAGAAGAGGAAAGUGGAAUUCCAUGUGUAGCGGUGAAAUGCGCAGAGAUAUGGAGGAACACCAGUGGCGAAGGCGACUUUCUGGUCUGUAACUGACGCUGAUGUGCGAAAGCGUGGGGAUCAAACAGGAUUAGAUACCCUGGUAGUCCACGCCGUAAACGAUGAGUGCUAAGUGUUAGGGGGUUUCCGCCCCUUAGUGCUGCAGCUAACGCAUUAAGCACUCCGCCUGGGGAGUACGACCGCAAGGUUGAAACUCAAAGGAAUUGACGGGGACCCGCACAAGCGGUGGAGCAUGUGGUUUAAUUUCGAAGCAACGCGAAGAACCUUACCAAAUCUUGACAUCCUUUGACCGCUCUAGAGAUAGAGUCUUCCCCUUCGGGGGACAAAGUGACAGGUGGUGCAUGGUUGUCGUCAGCUCGUGUCGUGAGAUGUUGGGUUAAGUCCCGCAACGAGCGCAACCCUUAAGCUUAGUUGCCAUCAUUAAGUUGGGCACUCUAAGUUGACUGCCGGUGACAAACCGGAGGAAGGUGGGGAUGACGUCAAAUCAUCAUGCCCCUUAUGAUUUGGGCUACACACGUGCUACAAUGGACAAUACAAAGGGCAGCUAAACCGCGAGGUCAAGCAAAUCCCAUAAAGUUGUUCUCAGUUCGGAUUGUAGUCUGCAACUCGACUACAUGAAGCUGGAAUCGCUAGUAAUCGUAGAUCAGCAUGCUACGGUGAAUACGUUCCCGGGUCUUGUACACACCGCCCGUCACACCACGAGAGUUUGUAACACCCGAAGCCGGUGGAGUAACCAUUUAUGGAGCUAG